rnacentral:lncRNA from 1 species
GCCAUUUUGUGCAGUCGCUGGGAAGGAAGGAGACGCCUAAACCGCGGCACUGCCCGGUUUGAGCGUAGCCAAACCUGCCCACCGGCUUUGUAGCCCCGAUUCUCUGUGUUUUGCUCCCGUCUCCGACGAGAGAGGCGGCGACGGUGGCGUCUGCGACGGGAGACAGCGCGUCGGAGCGAGAGAGCGCUGCGCCUGCCGCCGCCCCAACAGCGGAGGCGCCGCCGCCAUCGGUCGUCACCAGACCGGAGCCGCAGGCCCUCCCGAGCCCGGCCAUCCGUGCCCCGCUCCCAGAUCUCUAUCCUUUUGGGACCAUGCGCGGAGGAGGCUUUGGGGACCGGGACCGGGAUCGUGACCGUGGAGGAUUUGGAGCAAGAGAAGGCUCCACUGCAUUCUUUGGCUAAGGCCUGAAUGCUUGCUCAUCUGUAAGAUCUAUACUCGAGGUUUUGUUUUCCUUUUAAAAUUCUUUAGGGAGAGAGGGAUGGUUUCUGAGGGGUUCUGAAAGUAUGAUUCAAUGUGCAACAUACAGGUAGGUCUUCAGCAUAAGCUGAAAUAUAUGCAUGUAAAAACUUUGACAUCUUUUUUUUUAAUUUUCCACUUUCUUCUUAACUUUACUUCUCUUUUUGUCCCCCCCCCAUCUUACAGAAGUUGAGGCCAAGGGAGAAUGGUAGGCACAGAAGAAACAUGGCAAACUGCUCUGUGCUUUCAAACCAAAGUGUUCCCCCCAACCCCAAAUUUGUCUAAGCACUGGCCAGUCUGUUGUGGGCAUUGUUUUCUACAACCAAAUUCUGGGUUUUUUUCUUCUUUCUUUAAACAUAGAGGUACCACCACAAGGGAUGCCCUACUCUCUCGCAGCUCUUGAAAGCAUCUGUUUGAGGGAAAGGUCUCUGGGCAAGCAAGUGGUUAUUUGGAUUGCUUGCUUCCCUUUUUCCACCUGGGACAUUGUAAUCAUAAAAUAACAGUAAAUUCCAAACCUCAAAAACUAUUAUGGCCUGAGCACAGCUGAAAUCUAGCAGAGUUUAACUCUUCUGCCUCCAUGUCUGUCACUUAUAAUUCAGGUUCUGCUGUUGGCUUCAGAACAUGAGCAGAAGAAUCGUUUUAUGCUAGUUAUUGCAUUCAUGGUUGAAACUCAACUUAGGGAAAGGGUUCCAAUGUAUUAAGCAAUGGGCUGCUUCUCCCCAAUCCUCCCUAACAAUUCGUUGUGUGGACUUCUCAUCUAAAAGGUUAGUGGCUUUUGCUUGGGAUCAGUGCUCUCUAUUGAUGUUCUUGCUGGUCUCCAGACACAUUCCUGUUGCAUUAAGACUUGAAAGACUUGUAGAUGUGUGAUGUUCAGGCACAGGAUGCUGAAAGCUAUGUUACUAUUCUUAGUUUGUAAAUUGUCCUUUUGAUACCAUCAUCUUGUUUUCUUUUUGUAGGUAUAAAUAAAAACACUGUUGACAA